UAUCCAGGAGAGCAUCCAACAGUUCCAGCAGGACAUUCAAAAGAUCAGAAAUUCUCUCCACUCCAUGGUUGGACAAAGCAGUGUAGGUAGUAGUCAGCCAGUGAAGAAGCGUCGGACACUCAGUGUAGAAGACCAUGAAAGGAUUGCUGCAGAGGUCUGUGAUAUCAUACUGGGACACACCAGGGAGCGCUUUUCUUUCACAAACCACCUUGUUAGUGCCACACUCCUGCAGGGGGACAGAUUUGAACAAUACAACACAGCAUUUCCUGAAGAUGCACUGAGCAACACCUUA